rnacentral:lncRNA from 1 species
AAAAAUAUAUGAAUUAACCCAACGACUAUGUCUAUGAAGCCUCGACUGAUAAACUGACGCAUUGCUCAGGACAUGAGAUUUCCUGCACAGUUCUCUAAGUAAGCAAAGAAAUAACUAAAUAAAGAUGACUCAAAGGAAUACCCCACGAACAAAAGUGGAGCUCACCAAUAGCACUGGAAGAGAAGGAAGUCCUAACUCGUAGCCUGCUCGCCUACAAAUUCAGUUCCUACGUUGUACCGCAGACCAACGUAGGUUCCUAAAAGAGAACGUCAGUGCCAUUCAUUGUACUCAAUAAGUCUCAACAACAUGGGGCAAAACUUUAAUAACAUAUACAUUAAGAGCAAAGGUUCUAAAUACAUCUAAAACGUAAAGCUUAUAAGAAUAAUUCUAAAUAAUUGCAUAAUAGCAGUUUAUGAAUAUUAUAAAAAAAUCUUUUUCUUAAAAAAAAAACAAUUACUUCUCUUUAUGCUUUGGGAGUUUCAACUAUCCUGACUUAAUUCUGUCUCAGUCACCGUGUGAUAGGCACAGGUUCGAUCCUAACCUGACCGAAUAGGCCCAAUCCACGAGGUGUCACUCGCUUCAUAAUUCUCGGUGCUCAUGUAUCAUAGCUUAAGCAUGGCUAAGUAAAUUUUUAGCAGUGAGACUCUCGGCUCAUGUGCUCUCUACUUUGGCACAAGUAGUUUCAAGAAGUCAACGCCUUGGUCAGGACCCUCGGCCUGGACGAUGACCCCUUCUCAGAAGAUACUCCCAAAAAUCUUUUCUUUCUAAAACUUCUUCUUGCGACUUUUCAAGUCUAAGUCUUUUACGCAUAAUCAUAUCGGUAUCCUUAAAUGUAAAACAUGAUAUAAGAAUGAAAUAAAUAUUCGAUAAUAAAAUAAUAGAAAUAGGUACAAAUUGACUCAAAUACCGCCAUAAAAUGAUAUAAUAAAACACUGACAUCUAAAACCUUAAAAAUGUUCUCUAUGAAUUCUUCCUUAUAUUCAUACUCAUCAAAUGUUACGUCCUACAUUGUUUACAUAUACCAAACUUUAGUAAAAUCUGUGCAAGUACAAUACUAAACAAUAUUAUUGCACAAACCUAGAUUGGUUUCUAUUUCGUUCAUAGCUAGUCCAUAUAACAUAGUUAACUUGAUAACCUAAUAAUAAUACGUAGUGAAGAGGAUAUGGCUUUCUUGAUCCUGCAUGAAUUUUCAACAUGAAAAUGGCAUAUAAGAAUAACAUAAAAAUCUAAAAUUUAUGCAUGUAUAUCCAAAUAGUCAUCUAAUCUUUAGCUAGAAAAUAAUUCUAAGCUAAUAGGUAAUUACUACUCCAAUUGAGUAUAUAUUAACACUUUUAUGUAAUUCAUCAAACACCUAACUUCGAAUUUCCUUAAAACUCACACCCUUGGACUUACCAAAAUAGCGCUUCAGAAUAGUGCUCUCUCAGUUAAAUGGGUUUUCAAUAUUAUUGCUGUGAUCCGCCAACCAGACAUAAUGUGAAAGUCUUCAAGAGUGAAGGAAACAUCAUGCCCAAAAAUCUUGAAACUAAUGGAGUCUCGCUCAUUCGUGAAUAUUCAAGAAAGACACAAAAGAUGAACUAAUUUUAUGUUGUUGCAUUUGAAAUUCUCCAUAGCAACAAUGUAUCUAAAUGCACCAGUAGUAAGUUUAUCCCUAUGUGCAGGAGUUCAAAAAUUUACAAUUAAACUCUUCAAAUCAUGGUUCCCCUUCCAGUAACCCUUGGAGUUAAACCAUUCUGUAAACUCAAAAUAUUUUUGUCCUGGUCUUGUAGUUGGAGGCUCAGGGACAUAAGGACAUGGUGCUACUAUAGGUAGUCUAUAUCUUUUAGGUGCUUUGAUUUCUUUAGCUACAUUAGAAUCUUUAGGUGCUUUAUGAGUCAUCUAUCCAAAAAAAGUAAAAGACACAAAUAAUAACAUCAGGACAUUAUCAAAAAGAUCAUUUAAAACUUCAACAACUAAGAAGGCUUAAGUUCGACAAGUAUAAAAUAAAAACUUCGACAGGUACAAAACAAAAACUUAAGCUCUAGAACUGAAGUUUACAGGUAUAAAACAAAAAUUUCACCAGUAACAAAUACAAAAACUUCAUCUCCUAAAGAUGGACUUCACCAG